rnacentral:rRNA from 1 species
UACGGAGGGGGCUAGCGUUGUUCGGAAUUACUGGGCGUAAAGCGCACGUAGGCGGCUUUGUAAGUUAGAGGUGAAAGCCCAGGGCUUAACCCUGGAAUUGCCUUUAAGACUGCAUCGCUAGAAUCGUGGAGAGGUGAGUGGAAUUCCGAGUGUAGAGGUGAAAUUCGUAGAUAUUCGGAAGAACACCAGUGGCGAAGGCGGCCCGCUGGGCAGUGGCUGACGCUGAGGCGCGACAGCGUGGGGAGCAAACAGG